GACGAACGCUGGCGGCGUGCCUAACACAUGCAAGUCGAGCGGGGUUGAGGCGAGAGGUAACUCGAACUUCUACCUAGCGGCGGACGGGUGAGUAACGCGUGGGCAACCUGCCUCAAGGUUUGGGAUAACAGCCCGAAAGGGCUGCUAAUACCGGAUAUGCCUAUGGCCUCGCAUGGGGCUAUGAGCAAAGGGGAAACCCGCCUUGAGAUGGGCCCGCGUCCCAUCAGCUAGUUGGUGAGGUAAAGGCUCACCAAGGCGACGAUCCGUAGCUGGUCUGAGAGGACGACCAGCCACACUGGAACUGAGACACGGUCCAGACUCCUACGGGAGGCAGCAGUGGGGAAUUUUGGACAAUGGGGGCAACCCUGAUCCAGCCAUUCCGCGUGAGUGAAGAAGGCCUUCGGUUGUAAGACUCUUUCUAGCAGGAACGAAACGGUAGGACCGACUAAUAACUGGCUACUAAUGACGGUACCUGAAGAAGAAGACACCGGCUAACUACGUAGCCAGCAGCCG
rnacentral:rRNA from 1 species